rnacentral:tRNA from 1 species
GGAGCCGUGCCCGAAUACCUAAGGACCACUUUGAUAGAGUGAUUUAUGAGGGUUAAAAUCCCUCCAGCUCCU